GUCGGCAGCUAGCUCUCUGCAACUCUCACAUGGUCGCCCACUGAAGCUAAGCAGGGCUGCGCCCGGUCAGUACCUGGAUGGGAGACCACUUGGGAAAGCUAGGUUGCUGCCGGAA
rfam:Danio rerio chromosome 22, GRCz11 reference primary assembly.